GAUCAGGUGGCCGAGUGGUUAAGGCGAUGGACUGCUAAUCCAUGGGGUUUCCCCGCGUGAGUUCGAAUCUCAUCCUGAUCG
rnacentral:tRNA from 1 species